rnacentral:rRNA from 1 species
GGGAGCUUGCUCCCUGAUGUUAGCGGCGGACGGGUGAGUAACACGUGGGUAACCUGCCUGUAAGACUGGGAUAACUCCGGGAAACCGGGGCUAAUACCGGAUGGUUGUUUGAACCGCAUGGUUCAAACAUAAAAGGUGGCUUCGGCUACCACUUACAGAUGGACCCGCGGCGCAUUAGCUAGUUGGUGAGGUAAUGGCUCACCAAGGCAACGAUGCGUAGCCGACCUGAGAGGGUGAUCGGCCACACUGGGACUGAGACACGGCCCAGACUCCUACGGGAGGCAGCAGUAGGGAAUCUUCCGCAAUGGACGAAAGUCUGACGGAGCAACGCCGCGUGAGUGAUGAAGGUUUUCGGAUCGUAAAGCUCUGUUGUUAGGGAAGAACAAGUACCGUUCGAAUAGGGCGGUACCUUGACGGUACCUAACCAG